CACCCUGUCUCAGGCUUCUUGACGCCUCGCUGCACCCAGCAGCCACAGUGACUAUGUCGACACAGUAUCCAGUCUUUUUCCCUGUGGGUCCACUCACUCUGCAACCACCAAGAUGUCUGUUUGUUUCUGCAUCUGUCUGUCCAUGUGCUCUACCUUCCAUCCAUCUCUGAGAACAGCGAGAGUAUUUGAACACAAUAAAACGUUUGCACCACGGCCAAGUUGGAUCUCCUCCUAAAAACUGGAAGUUUCGAACAAUAAGACGUUGAGUCAACUUCAGUUAUCUGAGGGCAUCAGGAAACGUAAAGACAACCAUUUCAAAGCCCGCCCGUCCAGAAAUAAGAGAAGCUGGUUGGAACAGUGAAGGAGAGGCCAAAUGACCACCAGCUGCAGGGAUCACAACCAACUUACUGGCGGGAAAGAACACAGGU